CGCGCUCCACACAAGUAAAAUCAAACUUGAGAAUGAGGCCAUCAGAAAGAUGAUGUAACACCAGUAGUUAAGAUUGCUUGAGAUAUAGCAAUAGUUAACUGCAUUAUGGUGU
rnacentral:sRNA from 12 species